UACGAAGGGGGCUAGCGUUGCUCGGAAUUACUGGGCGUAAAGCGCACGUAGGCGGAUCUUUAAGUCAGGGGUGAAAUCCUGGAGCUCAACUCCAGAACUGCCUUUGAUACUGAGGACCUUGAGUUCGGGAGAGGUGAGUGGAACUGCGAGUGUAGAGGUGAAAUUCGUAGAUAUUCGCAAGAACACCAGUGGCGAAAGGCGGCUCACUGGCCCGAUACUGACGCUGAGGUGCGAAAGCGUGGGGAGCAAACAGG
rnacentral:rRNA from 1 species